rnacentral:rRNA from 1 species
AACGAACGCUGGCGGCAGGCCUAACACAUGCAAGUCGAGCGAAGCCUUCGGGCUUAGCGGCGGACGGGUGAGUAACGCGUGGGAACGUGCCCUUUGGUACGGAAUAGCCCCGGGAAACUGGGAGUAAUACCGUAUGUGGUCGAGAGACGAAAGAUUUAUCGCCAAAGGACCGGCCCGCGUUGGAUUAGGUAGUUGGUGGGGUAAUGGCCUACCAAGCCGAUGAUCCAUAGCUGGUUUAAGCGGAUGAUCAGCCACACUGGGACUGAGACACGGCCCAGACUCCUACGGGAGGCAGCAGUGGGGAAUCUUAGACAAUGGGGGAAACCCUGAUCUAGCCAUGCCGCGCGAUCGAUGAAGGCCUUAGGGUUGUAAAGAUCUUUCAGUGGGGAAGAUAAUGACUGUACCCACAGAAGAAGCCCCGGCUAACUCCGUGCCAGCCGCCGCAGUAACAC